rnacentral:snRNA from 1 species
UUUUGGUCCCAAGGCUCGC